CAAAACAAGGUUUCAUUGCUCCCCGCAUUUAGUCAGAUUUACAGUUUUAACUCGACUUCUUCUCCCUUCAAUUUUCAAGCGUUACACAAUCAAAGCUCCCAUUCCCAUCAUACGUUACAAAUAAGAAAGAUCCCUAUUAACGGCUCCAUUAAGUCUGCUAAUCAAUCCCUGAAGCUCCAAUUACAUAAACCUCAAAAGAGGCAAGAGGUUAUCUUCCAAAGGUUUUGAAUUUCUUUUCAGACCAUGCUUUCUUACACUCUAAUUUUUGUUGGUAGAGGACAUAUUGAGAAAAGAACCAGCGUCCAUCUCUGGUUUAAUCUGCGGAAGGAAUUGACUGGUGCUAAUUAAUUAGCGUUGUUACAUGGUUUUUAGAUGACGAUACAUUGUCUUUUUUUUUUUAAUCGGUACAUCGUUUAGAUGCUUUAGAGAGCAUCAUAAGUAAGUGCUAAAUUAUAUAGCUUAGUAGAACUUAUUCCAGUUCCAUUUGCUUCUUUUGGGUUGUUUUCAUCUAUUAGCGUAUGGUACUUAUUUCCACAUUUCGCUGAGUUUUAACAGAUUAUUAAUUGGGCUCAACACUGAUUCUAACAAGGUACCUUCCCUGAAGUGGAUCACCUACCACAAUAUUAGCCGAGAGUUGCAAAAUUGUCCAGUGCGAGAUCUGCGGUUUAUCAUUUGCUCCUCCUGUAUUUGAGCCUCUAUGGCAACUGCUCCUCAAAUAAAGGAGGGAUUGGCCACACUGAUGCGAAGACAUCGAGCCUCUAUGACUGAUGCUUAAAGAGAUGAAAAGAGGAUUUGCAACCGAGAGCAGCAUGCACAACAAGAAUAUAGUUCUCAGCAUCGAGUAUCUGAAGACUGUAGUUUGUGCUAACUAUGUAGGAUUUCUGCUCCGACAAUUCUCCUAAAAGUUCGUGGGCAGUUGUUGAAUGCUCGAAGGCUUCAACUUCAUCACACUGAUUCCUUGCUUGAAACUGACAAUUGUGGACCAUUGGAGCACGAAAUCAACAGUUGUUGCAGCAAGCAGAAGACACCCAAAGAUGCGCAGGAAGGAGAAAAUUCUGAAGAAUCACAUUUACCCAAGGAUGUGAUGGGCGAUGUUUCGUAUUCUGUAGUGUGGGAUCAGCAACCCAUAUUUUAGAUGAUACUAUCUCCAGAGAAGGUCCGGUAUUUUCAGUGGUUCAUACUGCUCCUACGUACUCCACUUAUAGCUUGGUGCCCACUAAUGUUGGGAACCCAGUUUGGGUUGGUCCUGUAUUAUUGCCUGCUAUGCACAUUUCUCACAUAUAAGGUUUCCAUCUCUUUUUAACAUUUUUCUUAGACUCCUGUACAAUGAGUUAGCAUGGGAAGAUUUUAUACAAAACAUUCUUACCGGGAUAGUGUUGUAAUUUCUGAAAAUAAUUUAUUAUUAGUACAUCUUUUGUUCUAA